rnacentral:rRNA from 1 species
UAAGGAAUAUUGGUCAAUGGACGCAAGUCUGAACCAGCCAUGCCGCGUGAAGGAUGAAGGUCCUCUGGAUUGUAAACUUCUUUUAUCUGGGACGAAAACGGGAUUUUUAUCUCAAUUGACGGUACCAGAGGAAUAAGCACCGGCUAACUCCGUGCCAGCAGCCGCGGUAAUACGGAGGGUGCGAGCGUUAUCCGGAUUUACUGGGUUUAAAGGGUGCGUAGGUGGGCUUAUAAGUCAGUGGUGAAAUCUCCGAGCUUAACUUGGAAGCUGCCGUUGAUACUAUAGGUCUUGAAUUAUCUGGAGGUAAGCGGAAUAUGUCAUGUAGCGGUGAAAUGCUUAGAUAUGACAUAGAACACCAAGUGCGAAGGCAGCUUACUACAUAUAAAUUGACGCUGAGGCACGAAAGCGUGGGGAUCAAACA